GGGACAACGUUCCGAAAGGGGCGCUAAUACCGCAUACGUCCUACGGGAGAAAGCAGGGGACCUUCGGGCCUUGCGCUAAUAGAUGAGCCUAAGUCGGAUUAGCUAGUUGGUAGGGUAAAGGCCUACCAAGGCGACGAUCUGUAGCGGGUCUGAGAGGAUGAUCCGCCACACUGGGACUGAGACACGGUCCAG
rnacentral:rRNA from 1 species